CUUAAAACUGCUGCCAACCUCCUUUGGGUAGUCUGAUCAAGAAUGCCAACUUGGGUGUUUUUCCCCAAAAUUAAGGGGAAGAACCAAUAUGUAAAGGAUUAUUUUGAAAAGGGAAUUUAGUGGGUACGUUAUUUUAGAAAUUUUUUGAGGUCGUGAAAGUGUAAAUCUUUUUUUUUUAAAAGUGAAAAAACAACAGCAACACAAGGGGCGCUGGUGGUUGAAUCUCGUACUACGACCAACAACUUGUAGAUCAAGAGAAAUAUGUUUUUACUUUUACUGUUCUACGUUUACACCUUUAUCUAUGUUCUCAGUUAUCACGUUGAGGUUAUGUUUGUUAAUUUAUAACGCGAAUUUUAUUGCAUUGCGAAGUAAGUUGUUUAUGUUUUUCUGUGGUGUCAAGAAAAAAAAUAUAAUUCAUACACAUAUAAUAAUUAAUUAUUCGUAUUCAAAUAUUUUCCAGAAUUCCAAAAGAAAAUAUAUAAAAUAGCACGAAUAUAGGAAAUAGUGGGAGACCCAUCCGGAACUUUAAGCAGCACUUGCUGCAGGCGCGACGCCAGGCUGCUCACGCGGUCGUCCGGGAUGAAGGACUUCAUGGGCUUCCCUGUGGGUGGGGGGCCGGAUGGUGUCCCCGAUGGGGGGGAGCCGGGUGGUGUCCCGGUCGGGGGAUUACCGGAUGGCUUCGGCGGCGGAGAGCUGGCCUUCUCCUCGUAGCCAUGCGCGCUGUGCAGCACGAGCACGGCCAUCAACACGACUGCGAGCAGCUUCAUGGUGUGGCCUGUAAGACAUCGCAAAACAUCCUCGUACAGGAUGUCCUCAGUGAUGGUGAUUUGAGAGAGUGUUCAAGGAACAUCAAUGCUGGCCUGUGAUGGCUGCUUCAACGUCUAAAAACCCACAGCCGAAAUGAUGACCGAACACGAGUACCUAUUGCUUCAACAGCAGAAAAAUAAACAGGUAAAUGAAAUAUAUGAACUGGAUUGGUUUUGUUUGAGUUAUUAUGUAUUAUUACAGACUAAUUGUGUGGUGCGAUAGCUGUAAGCAUGCAGUUAAAGACCCAUCAGUAUAGACACAGGUGAAUAAACAUCAUCUUGCAAAAACUUUUUGUUUUAUUAAUGUUACGAACGUGAGCAAAGCCAUGUCACGCGCAGGUGUAGAGCUAGCUGGGCUGCAUCACAUGCCGCCGUAACAUGAGAUGUGCUGUGCGCACCUGGGUCGCCGCUUUAUCUCCCUCCAGUCCUUCUCUCCCUCCACGCGGUACUCUUAGUUUGACAUCCGAAACCUGACAGCUGCGAGUUGCGCGAGCCGCCGGCACGUGUUUUCGAGAGAUUUCUGCCGUCGGGACGGCUCGCUAUAACGUGACUGGCCCCGGCUGUUCUCGUGAGUUCUGGAAUUUCGCCGGGGCCUAUAUAUAUGCCCGAGGACGCCGGCCGGGAGGGAGUCAGUGGAGUUUGGAGUGUUCAGUCGGGAGUUCUUCCGCGGCCGAGUUUCCGGGCGAUAGAGUCGCGGGCGCGGCAGAGUCCCGAGCGAAGUUGCGAGCAAGGAGUCAAGCGGAUCCUCGGCGAAGGGGAAGUGCGUCAGCGGCGGCGAAGUCCCGCGGCGGAGACCCACAAGGGGACCCACAAGGUGUCUCUUUGCCUGUCACUCACGGUCACGGCCGCUUCUAUUUCUGGAUAUUAUCCUUGUUUCAUCCUGCGAAAUGCUCGCUUAUAUUUCGGCGCCUUCUGGAGUUAUGUUCGGCUUAACCAGUCAGUACUAGACAUUGGUUGCUGCCGUAUCUUAUUUUCUCGCAGUCACAUUUUUUUUUCCUUUUCAUUCGGCAUACUUCACACCUUUCUGUUUUAACUCAGCUGUAUAACUUGUUAUUUUCCUCAUAAACACUACCCCGGUAACUGUAAAACAAACUUCCCUUCCCCCCUCGCAAACCUUACGAGCAAAAAAAAAAAAGGUCUCUCCCACCCCUUGACGUCCAUCAUUCAACAUUACACCCUCAAACUUCCCUUCCCCCACGAAUUCCUUACGAGCAAAAAAAAAAGUCUCUCCCGCCCCUCGACGUCCAUCAUUCAACGAGCCACCCUCCGCCUUUCCUUGUUCCUCCCGCCAUGCAUCUCAACAAACCACCCGCGUUCAUUGUUAUUGCCUUUCGCUCACUCUUUUUUAAACUCCUGGGGCCCGUUCAGCAAUGUAUACAAGUCUUGUAAAUUGUAAAAUUU